AUGGACGGUCAUAGCGGCGUGGUUACACCUGAUCCCAUUUCGAACUCAGAAGUUAAGCGCGCCCACGUUGCUGGCUGUACUGCACUCAUGUGCGGGAACCCAGCAUCGCUGUCCGCC
rnacentral:rRNA from 1 species